rnacentral:rRNA from 1 species
UACAGAGGUCCCGAGCGUUGUUCGGAUUCACUGGGCGUAAAGGGUGCGUAGGUGGUGAGGAAAGUCGGAUGUGAAAUCUCCAAGCUCAACUUGGAAAUGGCAUUGGAAACUACCUUGCUGGAGGUUUGGAGGGGGGACUGGAAUACUUGGUGUAGCAGUGAAAUGCGUAGAUAUCAAGUGGAACACCAGUGGCGAAGGCGAGUCCCUGGACAACACCUGACACUGAGGCACGAAAGCUAGGGGAGCAAACAGG